rnacentral:rRNA from 1 species
UACAGAGGUCCCAAGCGUUGUUCGGAUUCACUGGGCGUAAAGGGUGCGUAGGUGGUGAGGUAAGUCGGAUGUGAAAGCUCGGAGCUCAACUCCGAAAUGGCAUUGGAAACUACCUUGCUCGAGGGUUGGAGGGGGGACUGGAAUGCUUGGUGUAGCGGUGGAAUGCGCAGAUAUCAGGAGGAACACCGGUGGCGAAGGCGGGUCUCUGGGCAGUAACUGACGCUGAGGAGCGAAAGCGUGGGGAGCGAACAGG